rnacentral:rRNA from 1 species
UACGUAGGGUGCAAGCGUUGUCCGGAAUUAUUGGGCGUAAAGAGCUCGUAGGUGGCCUGUCGCGUCGGCUGUGAAAACUCGGGGCUCAACUCCGAGCUUGCAGUCGAUACGGGCAGGCUAGAGUUCGGCAGGGGAGACUGGAAUUCCUGGUGUAGCGGUGAAAUGCGCAGAUAUCAGGAGGAACACCGGUGGCGAAGGCGGGUCUCUGGGCCGAUACUGACACUGAGGAGCGAAAGCGUGGGGGAGCGAACAGG